rnacentral:rRNA from 1 species
GGGGAAUAUUGCACAAUGGGGGAAACCCUGAUGCAGCAACGCCGCGUGAGUGAUGACGGUCUUCGGAUUGUAAAGCUCUGUCUUUUGGGACGAUAAUGACGGUACCAAAGGAGGAAGCCACGGCUAACUACGUGCCAGCAGCCGCGGUAAUACGUAGGUGGCAAGCGUUGUCCGGAUUUACUGGGCGUAAAGGAUGUGUAGGCGGAUACUUAAGUGAGAUGUGAAAGCCCCGGGCUCAACCUGGGGACUGCAUUUCAAACUGGGUAUCUAGAGUGCGGGAGAGGAAAGUGGAAUUCCUAGUGUAGCGGUGAAAUGCGUAGAGAUUAGGAAGAACACCAGUGGCGAAGGCGACUUUCUGGACCGUAACUGACGCUGAGGCAUGAAAGCGUGGGGAGCAAAC